GCAAACUUGGUCAUUUAGAGGAAGUAAAAGUCGUAACAAGGUUUCCGUAGGUGAACCUGCGGAAGGAUCAUUAUCGAAUAAACCUGGGUGGGUUGUUGCUGGCCUCCUCGGAGGUAUGUGCACACCUGCCCAUCGUUUCAUUCACCCCUUCCACCUGUGCACUCUUGUAGGCUGCGCUGCCAAUCUUUGGGUUUAUUCAACUCGGUGUGAGGAAUUGCCUCUUGGCUUUCCUUGGGUGGAUGCAGUCUAUGUCUUUAUCAAACCAUUGCAUGUACAUGAAUGUAUUGAUUGGGCCUUUGUUGCCCAUAAAACCUUAUACAACUUUCAACAACGGAUCUCUUGGCUCUCGCAUCGAUGAAGAACGCAGC
rnacentral:misc_RNA from 1 species